ensembl:lncRNA
AUUUCCUCUUUUCCCAUUUCAGGAAAAUAAUCAGAGCUUGGGUUUACUCUUCUACUACGUGCCUCAUGACAUCUUGUCCUUGUAUGCGAGAAACUGACCGUCUCUGAAGCUACUUUAUGAGGCUAAGUAGUGCAGAGCAAAAUAGCAGCAAACUGAAGUUUUUCCAGCUUAGUCUAUCCCAGGAGGGCUAGACUGGGGGAAAACAGGGUACAAUGAAGGAAGCAAAAAAUAAGAAUGAAAAAGAAGCCAGAUAGUCUCAGUAAGGGAGAAAAAAGGAGAAUUUAAUUUGAGGUAGAUUGUGAAAUAGAUAUUUGGAGUUCAGAGUGCUAUGCCAUCCUGACUAUACUCAACUUUGACCACCAAUAGCAAUUUUUAUAUUACCAGCUUUGUGUCAUUAAGUAAUUAAUGUUAGGUGAUGAGCCAUUUUCUCUUGUAUCGCUAUACUCAUGGUCAUCAUUUCAGCUUCUGUGGCACUAAAGUACUUAACAGGAGAUAUCUCCUUUCUGACUUGAUCUAUUCAGUGUACAUGGGUUGUACAUGGUUCUUAUUUUUUUCCCUUUCCAGAGAGCAUGAGAUCUACUAUGCCCAGAAGGCCUCUGAAACCUCCGAAAUUUCUUCUCUCUGUAAGGCCAGCAAGUUCAUCCUUAAGAAGGCAGAGAAGAAUGCCCAGAUGGGAGAUAUACUCAGGUGACAUUCCCAACCCCUACAUCAAUUACACAUACUCCAGCAGGUUGAAACAGAAGCGCAGGAGUACUGAUGUACUAAGGUAGAACUGCUUGUAAGAAAUGUUAGGUGUCUUGACUUGGAACAGCUUUGCCUUGCUGUCUUUGUCCAGAAACUGCUAUAAAACAUGUCUGAACUGUGUCCAAAGUCCGAAUCUCCAUUUUGAACAGUUCUCCAUUUUGUGAGUUUGGCUGUGCAUGAAUCUGUGGAGGAGGUCCCUUUCAGCUUGACGUAACUGUUGUGCUGGGUCCUCAUUCAACUCUUCUUCAUGCAAAUGAAAUAAGAGAAUUUGGAUGAAUUUGGAUAAAUCCAAAGACCUGUCUUUGCUUAUCAGCGUGGAAUUAUAAAAAAACAACAACAACAAAAAAACAACAGCUGUAACCCACCUUUAGGAAAGGAGAAAUACUAAACUCUACCAAGAAGUACAAAAAUGUUGAAAAGUUCAAUGUGGUAAAAGAAAAGAUAAUAAUUAAUAUGCUAGAGCAAGAUGUUAUAAUUGCAGGGAAAUAUUUAAUAAGAUUCAACAUGAAGAAAAACUAAAAGAGAAAUUCAAGUUGAUCUAAACCCAGAAUCUCCCACAAGGAAAAUUAUUUUGCAUGUUAUUAGCAAAAGUAUAUGUGACACCAAUAAAACCUGAUCUGAUAUUAGCAAUAAAUACGAACAGGAGAUAACAUUACCCAAAACAUCAGUAAUAUGCCUCUGUUCCAGUAAUGCAGUUAAAACUUCUGUGACUAACAUGAACAAAUGACAAUUUUUACAGUCACCCUGCCUGCACAAGACACAGCCACAAUGAAAUCGCCUUCUUACACCAGAGGGACACAAAAUUUAACUUGUAGCCAUCAAA